rnacentral:rRNA from 1 species
ACUUUCAACAAUGGAUCUCUUGGCUCUUGCAUCGAUGAAGAACGCAGUGAAGUGCGAUAUGUAGUGUGAAUUGCAGAAUUCCGUGAAUCAUCAAAUCUUUGAACGCAUAUUGCACCCUCUGGUAUUCCGGAGAGUAUACCUAUUUGAGGGUCAUU